AAUCAACGCUGGCGGCGUGCCUAACACAUGCAAGUCGAACGAGAAAGUGGAGCAAUCCAUGAGUAAAGUGGCGACCGGGUGAGUAACACGUGACUAACCUACCCUGAAGUGGGGAAGUAACCUCGGGAAACCGGGCUAAUACCGCAUAACAUUGCGCGGCUGAAUGCCAUGCAUUCAAAGGAGCGAAUUCGCUUUAGGAGGGGGUCGCGGUUGAUUAGCUAGUUGGUGA
rnacentral:rRNA from 1 species